rnacentral:tRNA from 1 species
GGGGGACUAGCUCAGGGGGAGAGUGCAUGCUUAGCAUGCAUGAGGUCCUGGGUUCAAUCCCCAGUACUUCCC